GAGGGUGUAGCUCAAGUGGUAGAGCACAUGUUUAGCAUGCACAGGGUCCUGGGUUCAAUCCCCAGUACCUCCU
rnacentral:tRNA from 1 species